rnacentral:rRNA from 1 species
CCUACGGGUGGCAGCAGUGGGGGAUAUUGCACAAUGGGGGGAACCCUGAUGCAGCGACGCCGCGUGGGUGAAGAAGCGCCUCGGCGCGUAAAGCCCUGUCAGCAGGGAAGAAAAUGACGGUACCUGAAGAAGCAGCCCCGGCUCACGAAGUGCCAGCAGCCGCGGUCAUCCGUAGGGGGCAGGCGUUAUCCGGAUUUACUGGGGGUAAAGGGGGCGCUGGCGGCGAUGAAAGCCCGGAGUGAAAGCCCGGGGCCCAACCCCGGGACUGCUGUUGAAACUGCGUGGCUGGAGUGGAGGAGGGGCAGGCGGAAUGCGUGGUGUAGCGGUGAAAUGCGUAGAUAUCAGGAGGAACACCGGUGGCGAAGGCGGCCUGCUGGACUGCAACUGACGUUGAGGCCCGAAAGCGUGGGGAGCGAACAGGAUUAGAGACCCGGGUAGUC